rnacentral:rRNA from 1 species
CUACCUGUCAUACUACGAUUGUUGAUGUGAAUCGGCAAGCGUUCUAUGAGGGACUGACUGGGGUUACCAGUAGGAAGUUUGAGGCAAUAACAGGUCUGUGAUGCCCUUAGAUGUUCUGGGCUGCACGCGCGCUACACUGAUGGAGGCAGCGAGUCUUACCUGUACCGGAAGGUAUGGGAAAUCUUGUGAAACUCCAUCGUGCUGGGGAUAGACCAUUGCAAUUAUUGGUCUUCAACGAGGAAUUCCUAGUAAGCGCAAGUCAUCAGCUUGCGUUGAUUACGUCCCUGCCCUUUGUACACACCGCCCGUCGCUACUACCGAUUGAAUGGCUUAGUGAGGCCUCUGGAGCUGGGGUUCUGAGAAAUUGGGACUCUGGUGAAACUGGU